AGAGCGGCGGACGGGUGAGUAAUACCUAGGAAUCUGCCUGAUAGUGGGGGAUAACGUUCGGAAACGGACGCUAAUACCGCAUACGUCCUACGGGAGAAAGCAGGGGACCUUCGGGCCUUGCGCUAUCAGAUGAGCCUAGGUCGGAUUAGCUAGUUGGUGAGGUAAUGGCUCACCAAGGCUACGAUCCGUAACUGGUCUGAGAGGAUGAUCAGUCACACUGGAACUGAGACACGGUCCAGACUCCUACGGGAGGCAGCAGUGGGGAAUAUUGGACAAUGGGCGAAAGCCUGAUCCAGCCAUGCCGCGUGUGUGAAGAAGGUCUUCGGAUUGUAAAGCACUUUAAGUUGGGAGGAAGGGCAUUAACCUAAUACGUUAGUGUCUUGACGUUACCGACAGAAUAAGCACCGGCUAACUCUGUGCCAGCAGCCGCGGUAAUACAGAGGGUGCAAGCGUUAAUCGGAAUUACUGGGCGUAAAGCGCGCGUAGGUGGUUUGUUAAGUUGAAUGUGAAAUCCCCGGGCUCAACCUGGGAACUGCAUCCAAAACUGGCAAGCUAGAGUAUGGUAGAGGGUAGUGGAAUUUCCUGUGUAGCGGUGAAAUGCGUAGAUAUAGGAAGGAACACCAGUGGCGAAGGCGACUACCUGGACUGAUACUGACACUGAGGUGCGAAAGCGUGGGGAGCAAACAGGAUUAGAUACCCU
rnacentral:rRNA from 1 species